AUUGAACGCUGGCGGCGUGCUUAACACAUGCAAGUCGUGCGGUAACAGGCGUAGCAAUACGUGCUGACGAGCGGCGAACGGGUGCGUAAUACAUGGGAAUCUGCCUUUUAGUGGGGAAUAACCCGGCGAAAGCCGGGCUAAUGCCGCAUAAGAUCUUCGGAUGAAAGCGGGGGGAUCGUAAGACCUCGCGCUGAUAGAUGAGCCCAUGCCGGAUUAGCUAGNGGUAGGGUAAUGGCCUACCAAGGCGACGAUCGGUAGCUGGUCUGAGAGGACGACCAGCCACACUGGGACUGAGACACGGCCCAGACUCCUACGGGAGGCAGCAGUGGGGAAUAUUGGACAAUGGGCGCAAGCCUGAUCCAGCGAUGCCGCGUGUGUGAAGAAGGCCUGGCGGGUU
rnacentral:rRNA from 1 species